UGUUUAAAAAAGAAGAGGAGAAUAUUGUGGAAAAUUGAAAUACGAAAAAAUUCGUUUCUAUUUCAACGUUAAUUGUUUAGAAUAUUUUGUAAAAUGAAACAAUAACGUUUGUUGUAUAUACGUUUAUAUAUAUGUGUUAGUGAAUUUUCUUACGAAAGAUUUGGUCUGAUGUUUUUUUGAAAAAAAAAGUGUACGCUCGUAUUAGUUUUCCUCAUCGUGUCUUCUUUAUCUCGUGUUCAUCUUGAUUAUUGGUAGUUCGUUUGUGUGCGAUAACCGUGGCUUGAAUGUGUCUAGGAUAGAUACUGAAACACGCAAACUUUCGUUCCGUUCUACGAGUUUAGAGUUUGAGAGAAGUAUUACGAUGGAUUAGAAAAAAGAUGAUUUUAUGAAUACUCGUUGUUAGUGUGAGAGUGGAUACUCGCGAACCGGAAAAAGGAAGGAAGAGAAGGUAACGUCUUUACGAGCGAAGCGUGCAUUCUUAAAGUUCGUAUGCCAAGGGGAAAACGGUUCCCGUAGAACGUGUACCGUUCUAAACCGCGGCGUGCAGCGAGUGCAUUUUGCACGCGCGACGCGACCAACUUAAUAUUAUAUUACAAUUAAAUAGAAA
rnacentral:lncRNA from 1 species